CUCGCUCCAGCCGGUCUCCGUGGCAACGGGCUCGCGGGGGGGAGGGGCCGGGCGGCGUGGGCUGCGGCGGCUGCUAUUUCUGCCGCUUCCUGUUCCUCGCGGCCACGUCGCCAUGGCAACGGUGUUACUCACCGCGGCCGCUUCCCGGCUCGGCUGGCGCGCGUGACCCCGGCCGCCCGCGCCCCCUCGUCUCUCACUUGCUGCGCUGCCGCUCCCCCCGCCUCCCUCGGCGGCGUCCUCCGCCGGCGCCCCGGUCCAGCCAGCGCACCCCGGCGCCCCAGCCUUCCCCCGGCUUCCCCGCCCCUCUCCGCCGGUGCCCGCGGCCCGGGAGCGAGGGCGGAGGGAGGCAGAUUGAUGGGGGACGCUUAUUAAAAAACAUUGUAACCGUUUCCGUUUUUAUUACGUUGACAAGGGAGCGUUAUUUACUGUUAUUGUUUGCCGAGCGGGCCACGCCGGAGCGCGGGCGGCCUCCCGGGAGCUCACCUUUCGGGCGGGCCCGGGGAAGUCGCGGGUGGGAGCGGGAGGCGGGGGGGGGGUGGAGGCGGGGCGGCGAGGGGGCGACCCCCGGGCAGAAGCGGCCCCCGCGGGGGUCCUGCCCCUCGCCCCUCCUCCCCCCUCCCCGCCGGCCCGGCCGAGCCCCGCCGCGGGGCGUGUGUGCGCCCGGAGAGACUGCAGAGGCCGGGGGACUCAUGCUGAAGGAGAGAGGCAACAAAAAAUAAAAAAAGGAACAGAUGACUUCAUUCUCGGGAAGGCUCCGUCCUACGUGGACCAAUUUCCUGGGGACUGUGGUGGAACAGCUCGGCUGCCGUUGGAAGCACUUAAAACUAAACCAGAUAAAGACCAGAAAAUUCUCAGCAUUGCCUGAGCCGAGCAAGGACACCCGCAGGGACAAAGCCGGCAGAGGCUGGGGAACGAAAGCCAGUGGCUGGACUGGGAGCCUUGGACCAGGGUGAGGCUCAGCUGGAGGCCCAGCAAGGCAAGAUUAACUCGGCAGGUCUAAGCUCCGGCUGGCCUGGCUCCUGCUUACCCCACCGGAGCCUUCAGCUGGGGGGUUUGUGGGAGGUGGGCAAACUGAGGCCCAGAGAGGGGAAGAAACUUGGCAGAGAUCUGCCACUGGUUAAAGACGGAACCUGGACCAGGACCCAGGAGCCUCGCUUUCCUUUAGAGUGCUCAGGACCCCGACUCUGAUCCUUGUGUAGAAUUAUCUGCACGCCCAGAAGUUCAGGAGCUGGGGGGCAGGAGGAUCUGAAGUCAGACUUCCUGAGUUCAAGUACAUACGUCUACGUGAGACCCAGGACAAAUGAAUUCUUCUCUCUGGGCCGCCACGGUCUUAUGUGUUAAGUGGGGAUGACAGUACCAGCCCUGGGUUGUCUUAAGGAAUAAAGGUGCUCCAAGGAAAGUCCUGGGACUAACCCGGGAACAUACUAAUACUUAA